rnacentral:tRNA from 1 species
GAUUGUGGCUCAGUGGUAGAGCGCUCGCCUAGCACGGGCGGGACCUAGGUUCGAUCCUCAGCACCUCA